AUUGCAACCGAUUAAUUUCACAAUCACAGAUUGCUUCCAUGGCUGUUGCCCGCUUCUCUUCUGCUGCUCUCCUCAACAAUCCCAUUGAUUUCUACCCUGCUUCAGCUUCGAUUUCAGUUUCUUCCUCGAGUGUCCUUCGUCCCUCUACACACACGAAGAGAUUCUCCUGCGCUGCUGCUGGCCUGAACCUAAAAUCAUCGCAGAAGUGGAGGAUUGAGGCUUCUUUCUUUUCCUCUUUCUUGGACAAGAGCACUGAAAUUGAGAGCCUGAAGACGAGUCUUCUCGAGGCUAUUGCGCCAUUGGACCGCGGCGCCGCAGCUACUCCGGAAGAUCAACAACUUAUUGAUCAGAUUGCACGCAAACUUGAGGCACUUAACAAGGUGAAGGAACCGCUCAAAUCCAAUCUUCUAAAUGGGAAAUGGGAAUUGUUGUACACAACAUCCAAAUCAAUUCUUCAGCCUGAGAGACCCAAAUUUCUUAGACCAAAUGGAAAAAUCUACCAGGCAAUUAAUGUGGACACAUUGAGAGCUCAAAAUAUGGAAACUUGGCCAUUUUUCAAUCAGGCUACAGCAAACUUGGUUCCAUUGAAUGCAUGCAGAGUAGCUGUUAAAUUUGACUCAUUCAAGGUGGCCGCUCUGAUACCUAUUAAGUCUCGCGGAAGUGGUCGUGGCCAACUUGAAAUUACAUACUUGGAUGAAGAGCUGAGGAUAUCAAGAGGUAAUGAAGGGAAUCUAUUUAUUCUGAAAAUGGUGGAUCCCUUGUACAGAGUGCCCCUUUAGUGUAAUCCAUGGAAUGAGACCAUAAAGAAAGAGGAGGAAGAAUUCUUGUCUGUAAUCAUCAGAAGAGGGAAAUUAAGAUUUCUCAACAACACUCCAUGGUGAUGAAGAUUUUUAGCCUAAUCGAAGUGUGAAAGUAUGGGAAGUAAAAUACAGGAAUUGUUGGGAGCUUUUGAAACUACUUGAAAAUUUGAUAAAAUUAAAAGUUUUUUUUAAAGAAGUUGACAUUUAUAACAAAAUAGAAUGAAUAAUCACUCAGAGGAUUAUUUCUCAGUCUCAGAGCUUUUGAGUGAGUUUAAAUUGCUUGGCAAUCUAUAGGUGUUGAUAAAGCAUAUGGUUAUGUAUUUUUGUAGAAGAAUUAUUAAUGACAAUGAAUAUAUUGGAUAAGAUUUCUACUAAUUUUGUAUAAUCGUGAUUAGUGGCAAUAAUGAUUUGUGUUAUUCUUUUAUGGGUUAACGAUUAAGUGAAUUUUGGGCUUAGCAAUCAAUGAGUAAUCGAGAAGUGAUUACAGAGCUGGUUGAAAGCUUGAUCCAAGACAUUGGAUGAGAUAUCACAACUUACAUUCAGAUUUCAUAGCUUGAGACGUAGAUUUUGAAAUUUGAUUUGUGAGAUUAUGU